rnacentral:rRNA from 1 species
GAUGAACGCUGGCGGCGUGCCUAAUACAUGCAAGUCGAGCGAAUGGAUUAAGAGCUUGCUCUUAUGAAGUUAGCGGCGGACGGGUGAGUAACACGUGGGUAACCUGCCCAUAAGACUGGGAUAACUCCGGGAAACCGGGGCUAAUACCGGAUAACAUUUUGAACCGCAUGGUUCGAAAUUGAAAGGCGGCUUCGGCUGUCACUUAUGGAUGGACCCGCGUCGCAUUAGCGAGUUGGUGAGGUAACGGCUCACCAAGGCAACGAUGCGUAGCCGACCUGGGAGGGUGAUCGGCCACACUGGGACGGAGACACGGCCCAGACUCCUACGGGAGGCAGCAGUAGGGAAUCUUCCGCAAUGGACGAAAGUCUGACGGAGCAACGCCGCGUGAGUGAUGAAGGCUUUCGGGUCGUAAAACUCUGUUGUUAGGGAAGAACAAGUGCUAGUUGAAUAAGCUGGCACCUUGACGGUACCUAACCAGAAAGCCACGGCUAACUACGUGCCAGCAGCCGCCGUAA